CAUACGGCUCACUAACACGUGGCCAACUUAACCUCGGGACAGGGACAACCCCGGGAAACUGGGGCUAAUCCCUGAUAGGUGAGGGGGCCUGGAACGGUUCCUCAUUUAAAGGGUGCUAGGGGCAUGCUUUCUAGUAUUGCCCGAGGACAGGGCCGCGCCUGAUCAGGUUGUUGGUGGGGCAAUGGCUCACCAAGCCUAUAACCAGUACGGGCUGUGAGAGCGGAAGCCCGGAGAUGGGCACUGAGACAAGGGCCCAGGCCCUACGGGGCGCAGCAGGUGCGAAAACUCCACAAUGCACGAAAGUGUGAUGGGGCCAUCCCGAGUGCUGUCCGCUGAGGACAGCUUUUCCAUGCUGUAAGGAAGCGUGGGAAUAAGGAGAGGGCAAGCCUGGUGUCAGCCGCCGCGGUAAUACCAGCUCUCCGAGUGGUGAGGAUGAUUAUUGGGCUUAAAGCGUCCGUAGCCGGCUUUUCAAGUCUUUCGUUAAAGCCAGCGAUCUAAUCGUUGGACUGCGGGAGAUACUGUUGGGCUAGGGGGCGGGAGAAGUCGACGGUAUUUCCGGGGUAGGAGUGAAAUCCUAUAAUCCCGGGAGGACCACCAGUGGCGAAGGCGGUCGACUAGAACGCGCUCGACGGUGAGGGACGAAAGCUGGGGGAGCGAACC
rnacentral:rRNA from 1 species